CAGAGAAUGGUUUAAUUUAAAAUAUUAAUUUUGGAGAUUAAAGUUAAGAUAUCUAUCUUUUCUCUGA
rnacentral:tRNA from 1 species